CAGCAAGCCGUUCCCAGCUUAACUAAUACUAGAAUAAAACAAAUAAUAAUAAAGCAUCAAGUAACGGUAUAUUUCGUUUCAUAUGCGAAUUGUAGAACCAAUACUACAGAUACUUCACUAUUUAUUUAUCCGGUAGCAGUCUACCAUUGAUUACCUUCUAGACACCGUUGACGAUUCACAUACCGAAGCGGAGAAAAUUAAUAAAUCAGAGUUUUAACUCAAAGGAAGCUUCUAUGAUCCCUUCCAAUCUCGUACUUCUAUUCAAGGGCCUAUAUAUCUCUUGAUAUUUAAUUGCUAUGGCAGCUUCCUUAAACCAAGCAACAUAAUGAUCAAACAAAAAGCAAAUUGUUAGGCAAUUUUAAGAUCAUUUCAUUAAAAUGUACGAAAUAAUUAGUUCAUAUUCGAGGCUUAUAUCUUUCUCAUUAUCGAACAUUUUCCAUCGUUCAUCUAUCUACUUUGCUAUUCUAGUUAACAGUGGUUACUUGUGCAUCUAAAACGAUCGGUGAAACGAAGAUAGAAACGAGAAAAGAAUUCAAUAAGAUGAGAAAAAAUAAUUAAAACAAUUAG